rnacentral:rRNA from 1 species
UACGGAGGGUGCGAGCGUUGUCCGGAAUCACUGGGCGUAAAGGGCGCGUAGACGGCGCGGGAAGUCAUCGGUGAAAGUUCAGGGCUCAACUCUGAAUCGGCCGGUGAUACUCUCGUGCUCGAGCACUGUAGAGGCAGGUGGAAUUCCGGGUGUAGCGGUGGAAUGCGUAGAGAUCCGGAAGAACACCGGUGGCGAAGGCGGCCUGCUGGGCAGUAGCUGACGCUGAUGCGCGACAGCGUGGGGAGCAAACAGG